UCAUCUUAUCAGUAGUCUUGUCUGUAACUUGUUCACUUGUGUGGAACAGCUUGCACAAUAUGUUUCAUUUGUAUGUCCAUCAUCAAAACUUCACAUUUCCUAACAAAUUCUCCCUUUUUGAUGAUGACAAACUUAGCAGAACAACAUUCAUUUUAAAAUCCCGACACAUUCAAUAAAGAAUUAAAAUAGAGGAUCACAACAGAAUGAAACAAG
rnacentral:lncRNA from 1 species